AUGUCGGUAGUGUUAGUGGUGGUAAGCUUUGUCGGUGGUCAGUUCUGUUCAUCCGAUGAUUGUGAAGGGACUCAGGGAGCAAACUAGGAAGAGUCACGCCAGAGAGUGUAGCUUUGGUACUCUGUUACUUGACAUUCUUAGUGGAAAGCAUAUUUCUCCCAGCCAUCCGCUUUCAGAUCCUGAUGAACAUGGUGCCGAUCCAAAGACU